GCUUCCGUGGCUCAGUUGGUAGUAGCGCUGGUCUCAUAAUCCAGAGGUCGAGAGUUCGACCCUCUCCGGGAGCA
rnacentral:tRNA from 1 species